UACGUAGGGGGCUAGCGUUGUCCGGAUUUAUUGGGCGUAAAGCGCGUGUAGGCGGCCAUGCAGGUCCGCUGUGAAAACUCGAGGCUCAACCUCGAGACGUCGGUGGAAACCGCAUGGCUAGAGUCCGGAAGAGGAGAGUGGAAUUCCCGGUGUAGCGGUGAAAUGCGCAGAUAUCGGGAAGAACACCCGUGGCGAAGGCGGCUCUCUGGGACGGUACUGACGCUGAGACGCGAAAGCGUGGGGAGCGAACAGG
rnacentral:rRNA from 1 species